GUGCCCAUUUUGGCAGCAUAUGUACUAAAAUUGGGAUGAUACUGAGAAGAUAAGAAUGGUUCCUGCACAAGGAUGGCAUGAAAAUUUAUUGUAUUCCAUAAAAAAAAU